GGAGAGGUGGGUGAGUGGCUGAAACCAACGGUUUGCUAAACCGUCAUACGGGUGAACGCCUGUAUCGAGGGUUCGAAUCCCUCCCUCUCCG
rnacentral:tRNA from 1 species